GAUGAACGCUGGCGGCGUGCCUAAUACAUGCAAGUCGAGCGAACAGACGAGGAGCUUGCUCCUCUGACGUUAGCGGCAGACGGGUGAGUAACACGUGGAUAACCUACCUAUAAGACUGGGAUAACUUCGGGAAACCGGAGCUAAUACCGGAUAACAUGUUGAACCGCAUGGUUCAACAGUGAAAGACGGUCUUGCUGUCACUUAUAGAUGGAUCCGCGCCGCAUUAGCUAGUUGGUAAGGUAACGGCUUACCAAGGCAACGAUGCGUAGCCGACCUGAGAGGGUGAUUGGCCACACUGGAACUGAGACACGGUCCAGACUCCUACGGGAGGCAGCAGUAGGGAAUCUUCCGCAAUGGGCGAAAGCCUGACGGAGCAACGCCGCGUGAGUGAAGAAGGUCUUCGGAUCGUAAAACUCUGUUAUUAGGGAAGAACAAAUGUGUAAGUAACUAUGCACGUCUUGACGGUACCUAAUCAGAAAGCCACGGCUAACUACGUG
rnacentral:rRNA from 1 species